AUGAACGCUAGCUACAGGCUUAACACAUGCAAGUCGAGGGGCAGCAUGAACUUAGCUUGCUAAGUUUGAUGGCGACCGGCGCACGGGUGAGUAACACGUAUCCAACCUGCCGAUGACUCGGGGAUAGCCUUUCGAAAGAAAGAUUAAUACCCGAUGGCAUAGUUCUUCCGCAUGGUAGAACUAUUAAAGAAUUUCGGUCAUCGAUGGGGAUGCGUUCCAUUAGGUUGUUGGCGGGGUAACGGCCCACCAAGCCUUCGAUGGAUAGGGGUUCUGAGAGGAAGGUCCCCCACAUUGGAACUGAGACACGGUCCAAACUCCUACGGGAGGCAGCAGUGAGGAAUAUUGGUCAAUGGACGAGAGUCUGAACCAGCCAAGUAGCGUGAAGGAUGACUGCCCUAUGGGUUGUAAACUUCUUUUAUACGGGAAUAAAGUGAGGCACGUGUGCCUUUUUGUAUGUACCGUAUGAAUAAGGAUCGGCUAACUCCGUGCCAGCAGCCGCGGUAAUACGGAGGAUCCGAGCGUUAUCCGGAUUUAUUGGGUUUAAAGGGAGCGUAGGCGGACGCUUAAGUCAGUUGUGAAAGUUUGCGGCUCAACCGUAAAAUUGCAGUUGAUACUGGGUGUCUUGAGUACAGUAGAGGCAGGCGGAAUUCGUGGUGUAGCGGUGAAAUGCUUAGAUAUCACGAAGAACUCCGAUUGCGAAGGCAGCCUGCUGGACUGUAACUGACGCUGAUGCUCGAAAGUGUGGGUAUCAAACAGGAUUAGAUACCCUGGUAGUCCACACAGUAAACGAUGAAUACUCGCUGUUUGCGAUAUACAGUAAGCGGCCAAGCGAAAGCGUUAAGUAUUCCACCUGGGGAGUACGCCGGCAACGGUGAAACUCAAAGGAAUUGACGGGGGCCCGCACAAGCGGAGGAACAUGUGGUUUAAUUCGAUGAUACGCGAGGAACCUUACCCGGGCUUGAAUUGCAACUGAAUGAUGUGGAGACAUGUCAGCCGCAAGGCAGUUGUGAAGGUGCUGCAUGGUUGUCGUCAGCUCGUGCCGUGAGGUGUCGGCUUAAGUGCCAUAACGAGCGCAACCCUUAUCGAUAGUUACCAUCAGGUUAUGCUGGGGACUCUGUCGAGACUGCCGUCGUAAGAUGUGAGGAAGGUGGGGAUGACGUCAAAUCAGCACGGCCCUUACGUCCGGGGCUACACACGUGUUACAAUGGGGGGUACAGAAGGCAGCUACACGGCGACGUGAUGCUAAUCCCUAAAGCCUCUCUCAGUUCGGAUUGGAGUCUGCAACCCGACUCCACGAAGCUGGAUUCGCUAGUAAUCGCGCAUCAGCCAUGGCGCGGUGAAUACGUUCCCGGGCCUUGUACACACCGCCCGUCACACCAUGAGAGUUGGGGAUACCCGAAGCCUGUGAGCCAACAUAUCUAUGAGGCAGCAGUCGAAGGUAGAAUCAAUGAUUGGGGUG
rnacentral:rRNA from 1 species